AUGGAGAUGGUGGAGAAGCUUUCUCUCACCACAAGACCACAUCCACAUCCUUACUACAUCCAAUGGUUCAACAACAGUGGCAAGGUUAAGGUAACACGUACUGUUCGUGUGCAUUUUAGUAUCUCUACAUAUGCUGAUUAUGUUGAUUGUGAUGUGGUACCUAUGCAAGCAUGUUCCUUAUUACUUGGUAGACCAUGGCAAUUUGAUAAAAAUUCUGUACACCAUGGUAGAAACAAUCACUAUACUCUUGUUCAUAAGGAUAAAAAUAUUACUUUGCUUCCUAUGACUCCUGAUUCCAUUUUGAAAGAUGAUAUUAAUAGAGCUAAUAAAACAAAACAGGAGACGAAUAAGAGUGAAAAUCAGAUUGUGGCAAAAGAAUUUGAGCAACAAAUGAAGCCUAAUAAUAAACCAUCUAGUGUUGCUUCUGAAAUUAAAUUGAAAAGUGCAUGUUUAUUUGCCACCAAAUCUGAUAUUGAUGAGCUAGAUUUCAGCAAAUCUGUUUGCUAUGCUUUUGUGUGCAAAGAGGCAUUAUUUUCAUUCGAGGACGUGCCUUCCUCUUUGCCUCCUGCUGUCACUAACAUUUUGCAGGAGUUCGCUGACGUCUUUCCACAAGACGUGCCACCGGGAUUACCGCCUAUUCGAGGGAUUGAGCAUCAGAUCGACUUAAUUCCCGGUGCUUCACUGCCAAACCGUGCACCAUACCGUACCAAUCCAGAGGAGACGAAGGAGAUUAUGCGUCAAGUACAAGAGCUUCUCGACAAAGGUUAUAUACGCGAAUCCCUUAGUCCUUGUGCUAUUCCUAUUAUUUUAGUGCCGAAAAAGGAUGGUACAUCACGUAUGUGUGUUGAUUGUAGAGGCAUUAAUAAUAUUACUAUUCGUUAUCGUCAUCCUAUUCCUAGGCUAGAUGAUAUGCUUGAUGAAUUGAGUGGCUCUACAAUAUUCUCCAAAGUUGAUUUGCGUAGUGGCUACCAUCAAAUUCGUAUGAAAUUGGGAGAUGAAUGGAAAACAGCAUUUAAAACUAAGUUUGGAUUAUAUGAGUGGUUAGUCAUGCCUUUUGGGUUAACUAAUGCACCUAGUACUUUCAUGAGAUUAAUGAACGAAGUUUUACGUGCUUUCAUUGGACGAUUUGUGGUAGUUUACUUUGAUGACAUAUUGAUUUAUAGCAGAUCUUUGGAAGAACAUUUGGAACAUUUACGUGCUGUUUUUAUUGCUCUACGUGAUGCACGUUUGUUUGGUAACCUUGGGAAGUGCACCUUUUGCACCGACCGAGUAUCUCUUCUUGGCUAUGUUGUUACUCCACAUGGAAUUGAAGUUGAUAAAGCCAAGAUUGAAGCUAUUGAGAGUUGGCCACAGCCCAAAACGGUCACACACGUGAGGAGUUUUCUUGGCCUCGCUGGAUUCUAUAGGCGUUUUGUGAGAGAUUUCAGCACCAUUGCUGCACCUCUCAAUGAGCUUACAAAGAAAGAUGUGCCUUUUCUUUGGGGUACCGCACAGGAAGAAGCCUUCUCCGUAUUGAAAGAUAAGUUGACACAUGCUCCUUUACUCCAACUUCCUGAUUUUAAUAAGACUUUUGAGCUUGAAUGUGAUGCUAGUGGAAUUGGAUUAGGAGGUGUGUUAUUACAAGAUGGCAAACCCGUUGCAUACUUUUCUGAAAAAUUGAGUGGGCCUAGUCUGAAUUAUUCUACUUAUGAUAAAGAAUUAUACGCUCUUGUUCGGACUUUAGAAACAUGCCAACAUUAUUUAUGGCCCAAAGAAUUUGUUAUACAUUCUGAUCAUGAAUCUUUGAAACAUAUUAAAAGUCAAGCUAAACUGAACCGUAGACAUGCUAAAUGGGUUGAAUUCAUUGAGACUUUCCCUUAUGUCAUUAAACACAAGAAGGGAAAAGAAAAUGUUAUUGCUGAUGCAUUGUCUCGUCGCUAUACUAUGCUUUCACAAUUUGACUUCAAAAUAUUUGGUUUGGAGACCAUCAAAGAUCAAUAUGUGCAUGAUGCUGAUUUUAAAGAUGUAAUGCAGAAUUGUAAAGAAGGAAGAAUGUGGAACAAGUUUGUCGUUAACGAUGGAUUUGUGUUUCGUGCUAACAAGCUAUGCAUUCCAGCUAGCUCCGUUCGUCUUUUGUUGUUGCAGGAGGCGCAUGGAGGAGGAUUAAUGGGAUACUUUGGCGUGAAGAAGACGGAGGACGUACUUGCUACACAUUUCUUUUGGCCAAAGAUGAGACGGGAUGUUGAGCAUUUUAUUGCUCGAUGCACUACAUGUCAAAAAGCUAAGUCACGACUCAAUCCUCAUGGUUUAUAUAUGCCUUUGCCUGUACCUAGUGUUCCUUGGGAGGAUAUAUCUAUGGACUUUGUUUUAGGUUUACCUCGAACAAAGAAGGGGAGGGAUAGCAUAUUUGUUGUCGUGGAUAGAUUCUCGAAAAUGGCACACUUUAUACCAUGUCAUAAAAGCGAUGAUGCUGUUAAUGUUGCUGAUUUGUAUCGUGAUACUAAAUUUCUUAGCCACUUUUGGAGAUGUUUAUGGGCUAAGUUGGGGACUAAACUGCUUUUUAGUACUACUUGUCACCCCAAACUGAUGGCCAAACUGAAGUAG
rnacentral:rRNA from 1 species